CAGGCCGUACGGACCGACUACCGGAGGCGCUACCAGUGCUGCCUGGGCUACUAUGAGAGCCGGGACACCUGCGUCCCGCGCUGCAGCCAGGAGUGUGUCCACGGGCGCUGCGUGGCCCCCGAGCUGUGCCAGUGCGAGCCGGGCUGGCGCGGAGCUGACUGCUCCAGCGAGUGUGACGAGCAUUCGUGGGGCCCGGGCUGCGAGCGCCGCUGCGACUGCCACCA
rnacentral:lncRNA from 1 species